UCGGAUCUGCCAUUGGCGUAGGGGUUAGGGGCUAGAUCUGGAGAUCUGGGGGGCGAUUCGGCCUGCGAGGGGGAUUUUGCGGUGAUUACGAGAUACAUAUAGGAUGGAGCAUUGCCCGGCUAAACUCAAUACCUCGGGUCAGCUAUACCCAGAGAGCAUGACUGAUAUGAAAUCAAGAUUUUGGCAGAUUAGUAAUCAAUCACUUCCAAGAACUGAAGUUAUCUGUCCUCAACCUCGUCAUGCUACUAGGGUUUCUUUUUUCAUAGAUAGUGUUAACCGAUUCGGACCCAAGCCAAAAGGUGCUCUGCCUAUGUAUAGAGGUGAUUGUGGUCUUGAGAUCCUAGACAUUAACCGGAGCAUGGAUGAUUCUGAAUGGGAUCUCGAGGG
rnacentral:misc_RNA from 1 species